rnacentral:tRNA from 1 species
GGAUUGUGGCUCCGUGUAGAGCGCUUGCCUGCCAUGCAUGAGGCACUGGGUUCGAUCCUCAGCACCA